rnacentral:rRNA from 1 species
AUUGAACGCUGGCGGCAGGCCUAACACAUGCAAGUCGAACGGUAACAGGAAGCAGCUUGCUGCUUCGCUGACGAGUGGCGGACGGGUGAGUAAUGUCUGGGAAGCUGCCUGAUGGAGGGGGAUAACUACUGGAAACGGUAGCUAAUACCGCAUAAUGUCGCAAGACCAAAGAGGGGGACCUUCGGGCCUCUUGCCAUCGGAUGUGCCCAGAUGGGAUUAGCUUGUUGGUGGGGUAACGGCUCACCAAGGCGACGAUUCCUAGCUGGUCUGAGAGGAUGACCAGCCACACUGGAACUGAGACACGGUCCAGACUCCUACGGGAGGCAGCAGUGGGGAAUAUUGCACAAUGGGCGCAAGCCUGAUGCAGCCAUGCCGCGUGUAUGAAGAAGGCCUUCGGGUUGUAAAGUACUUUCAGCGGGGAGGAAGGGAGUAAAGUUAAUACCUUUGCUCAUUGACGUUACCCGCAGAAGAAGCACCGGCUAACUCCGUG